AUUGAACGCUGGCGGCAGGCCUAACACAUGCAAGUCGAGCGGAUGAAGGGAGCUUGCUCCUGGAUUCAGCGGCGGACGGGUGAGUAAUGCCUAGGAAUCUGCCUGGUAGUGGGGGAUAACGUCCGGAAACGGGCGCUAAUACCGCAUACGUCCUGAGGGAGAAAGUGGGGGAUCUUCGGACCUCACGCUAUCAGAUGAGCCUAGGUCGGAUUAGCUAGUUGGUGGGGUAAAGGCCUACCAAGGCGACGAUCCGUAACUGGUCUGAGAGGAUGAUCAGUCACCCUGGAACUGGGACACGGUCCAGGCUCCUACGGGAGGGAGCAGUGGGGAAUAUUGGACAGUGGGCGAAAGCCUGAUCCAGCCAUGCCGCGUGUGUGAAGAAGGUCUUCGGAUUGGAAAGCACUUUAAGUUGGGAGGAAGGGCAGUAAGUUAAUACCUUGCUGUUUUGACGUUACCAACAGAAUAAGCACCGGCUAACUUCGUG
rnacentral:rRNA from 1 species